rnacentral:rRNA from 1 species
AUUGAACGCUGGCGGCAGGCCUAACACAUGCAAGUCGAGCGGAUGACGGGAGCUUGCUCCUUGAUUCAGCGGCGGACGGGUGAGUAAUGCCUAGGAAUCUGCCUGGUAGUGGGGGACAACGUUUCGAAAGGAACGCUAAUACCGCAUACGUCCUACGGGAGAAAGCAGGGGACCUUCGGGCCUUGCGCUAUCAGAUGAGCCUAGGUCGGAUUAGCUAGUUGGUGGGGUAAUGGCUCACCAAGGCGACGAUCCGUAACUGGUCUGAGAGGAUGGUCAGUCACACUGGAACUGGGACACGGUCCAGACUCCUACGGGAGGCAGCAGUGGGGAAUGUUGGACAAUGGGCGAAAGCCUGAUCCAGCCAUGCCGCGUGUGUGAAGAAGGUCUUCGGAUUGUAAAGCACUUUAAGUUGGGAGGAAGGGCAGUAAGUUAAUACCUUGCUGUUUUGACGUUACCGACAGAAUAAGCACCGGCUAACUCUGUGCCAGCCGCCGCGGUAA